ensembl:lncRNA
CCUUGAUAGAGGGUUUCGGUCAAGUUAGCUAAAUUAAUAAUAAAUGAUUCUUUUAGAAAAUGACUGCUGCGUAUUUUUUAUUUUACAAUGCUGGGGUCAAGAGGACAUGAUGAGCCAUGAAGAUGUUGGUUGAACCUCAGACAACAAGACUUAACACAUGGGAUCCUUCGGGAGUUGACGCACAGACCUGCGACAUGGGGAGCCUGAACCCUUCCGGUCAUCUUCCCCCAACACAAGAGGAUGUGUUUCAGAUAACCCAGUGGGCAGAACAGCACACACCAACGUGAACCCUCGCUCAUCUCAAAGUAUCACCGGAUCAUCUGUUUUGUAUCAAAAGUCUUACAUGAAAGUAUUCUGCGCAGCUCAAGCAAUUCCUUGCAAAUAAAUGUAGUUGAAUCAAAAGUAUAAUAUGGUCUUCUGAAAUCUACUGGAAGUAAAGUACAAUGGGUGGGAGGG